GCGCGCCGGCGCUCGGGUCUCGUCCGUGCGUCUGGGCGGCCCCAGGUCCAGCUGAUCCCCCGAACGGCCGCUGCCCGCGCCCGCCGCUGGCCGGUGCUGCCGGCAGGGAAGCGGGGACCACGGCGACAUGGCGCGUCGUGCCCCGCCGGGCACCCGUGCUGCCUCGUCGGGCGGGACAGCAAGGAUGAGCCUGUUCGGAUCAACGUCAGGGUUUGGUACCGGAGGCACCGGCAUGUUUGGCAGUACAGCUGCAGAUAACCAUAAUCCAAUGAAGGAUAUUGAAGUAACAUCUCCACCUGAUGACAGCAUAUCUUGUCUAGCGUUUAGUCCACCAACAUUGCCGGGUAAUUUCCUCAUUGCAGGAUCAUGGGCAAAUGAUGUUCGCUGCUGGGAAGUUCAAGAUAAUGGACAGACAAUUCCAAAGGCUCAGCAGAUGCACACAGGGCCUGUAUUGGAUGGCUGCUGGAGUGAUGAUGGGAGUAAAGUAUUUACUGCUUCCUGUGAUAAAACUGCCAAAAUGUGGGAUCUCAACAGUAAUCAAGCUAUCCAGAUUGCACAACAUGAUGCACCUGUGAAGACUAUCCAUUGGAUUAAAGCACCAAAUUAUAGCUGUGUGAUGACCGGAAGCUGGGAUAAAACUUUAAAGUUCUGGGAUACCCGUUCACCAACGCCCAUGAUGACACUGCAGCUCCCUGAAAGAUGUUAUUGUGCAGAUGUGGUUCAUCCUAUGGCUGCUGUGGCCACUGCAGAAAGGGGUUUGAUAGUUUAUCAGUUAGAGAACCAACCUUCUGAAUUUAGAAGAAUAGAAUCUCCUCUUAAACACCAGCAUCGCUGUGUUGCUAUUUUUAAAGACAAAGUGAACAAACCUACUGGAUUUGCCCUUGGAAGUAUUGAAGGAAGAGUAGCUAUUCAUUAUAUCAAUCCCCCAAAUCCUGCAAAAGACAACUUCACUUUUAAAUGCCAUCGCUCCAAUGGAACAAACACAUCAGCACCUCAGGAUAUUUAUGCUGUAAAUGGGAUAGCAUUUCACCCUGUCCAUGGCACUCUUGCAACAGUGGGAUCCGAUGGUAGAUUCAGCUUUUGGGAUAAAGAUGCACGAACAAAGCUAAAAACAUCAGAACAACUUGACCAGCCAAUAUCUGCUUGUUGUUUCAACCAUAAUGGCAAUAUAUUUGCAUAUGCUUCCAGUUAUGAUUGGUCAAAGGGUCAUGAAUUUUAUAAUCCACAAAAGAAAAACUACAUUUUUCUGCGAAAUGCAGCAGAAGAGUUAAAGCCAAGGAAUAAGAAGUAGUUGUGAUUGUUACACACCAACCUUUGCUUGUUAGGGCAUUCUUCCAGACUUCCCAGUCAAAUGGCACCAAGCACUUGCAGGCUGUAGAUGAAGAUCACUGAUGGCAAAAAUUAAAAUCAUAGUCAUCUCCUGCAUGCAGAACUCCCACUGGUGUAAACAGGGAAGGAUGGGAUGUAGCAUCUGCUUCUUGUUUAAAAAAAAUCCUGGUGUCUCUUUUGUUUACAUACUGAACAGUGUGAAUGAGUGAUUAGAAAAUAGAUUCACUCUAGUUCACCAAGUACAUGUCUGCUGGAUCCAAUGGAGUUGCUCCUGCUGAAGUGGAUAUUAAGUUUGGCCAAGAUUUAUGUUCAUGAUGAAGCCAGCACUGGUAAGUCUCUUGUUUGGCAAUACACUUAUGUAGGAAUGAGCUGAGUACUUACUCUGCUGUUGGAAUCAAUUUUUCUAUCAGUCACGUUUUAGAGUUAUUCAGACUAAUUUCAGAAGGAGUGUAUUUUCCAUUACAUUGCUGUGCACAUAUAUUGGGUCUGGCUGAGGUGGAGUUGAUGUUUGCCAUUGCAGCCCUCAGUGCUAUGCUGUGUAUUGCUAGGAGGCAGGGUGUUGCUAAUACAGCAGUGGUUUGGCCAUCGCUGAGCACUGCUCCAAUAUAUUCCCCCUCAUGAGCAAGCUGAGGAUGGACAGAGCCAGGACAGCUGACCCCAACCAACCAAAGGGAUAUUCUAUACCAUAGGACAUCUGCUCAGCAAUAAAAGCUGAGAGGAAGGAGGAGGAAGGGGGAGCAUUCAUUAUUUACGAUGUUUGUCUUCCAGAGCAACUGCUAUGUGUGCUGCAGCCCUGCUUCCUAGGAAGUGGCCACAAAUCGCCUGCUGAUGGGAAGUAAAGAAUAAAACCUUUUGUUUUCUUUUGCUUCCACAUGUGACCUUUGCUUUUGCUUUACUAAACUGCCUUUGUCUUUAGCCACAUUUCUGUUUCCAUCUUACUUUCUCCCCUCCUUGUCCUGCUGAGGAGGGGGGUGGUAGAGUGGCUUGGUGAGCACCUGGCAUCCAACCACAAGCAGCACAUUAGAUCAAUUGGGAGGACAGAGUCAAACUUUGCUUUGUUUUCUUACCCAAGUUAAGAGAAUGCAUUGGUAACUUUUCUUCCCUGGGCUUACUGCAAGAUUCAUGUGUAAAAGUACACACAGCUGUAUCCCCUUAAACACAGUGACAGCUUACACAUGGGUAAGUGUUAGUGCAUGAUCUGGAAACGUAUUAACUUGCUAUUCUAUGGCACUUACCUGUCCAAAAAAUGAAAAGAAUGAAGAAUGUAAGAUGCUAAUGUGUAUCCAGAGCUAACCAUAGGAAUGCUAGAGUUACAGAACAACUUUGUUAGUUUUUGGAAAGUGCUGUCGAUGUUUGUGGUUUUAUUGCAGAAAAAUAAUCUUUGGCACAAAGAACUCAGCUAAGCCCCCAUAUGGGGACAUUUCAUAAAGAUUUUCAGCUCUCUUGACCUUUCUCCUGCUGGUCUCACCUGUCAGUAGUCUUGCAUAGUGGUUUAAUGAAGCAUAUUUUGUAAAACAAAGCAAUUGACAAAAAGUUUGUCUGCUAAAGCCCUCCACAAAUGAAAGCCAGACAUGUCUGCACAAUGGCAUUCAGUCAAGCAGAGUAUCUUAAUUUACCAUCUGUCAGAUGAAACGCAAUAGCUGGCUUGGUGAGUACUCCAGCCUAGCUCCACGGCUGGGAAAACAGGUUAGAGUCAUUCUCCAGAGGAGAAUGGAUUUGAGAUAGAGCUGGGGUUAAGGGUAUGUGGGAAGCUCCAAUCAAACUAUUGUCCAGCCUGGCCUUAAACACUUCCAGGGAUGGAACAUUAUCAUCUAUUGCUGCAACAGAAACCAGUGAAUGGAACAAAUUGAGAAUAACAUUAAUUCCCUAGUGAAAUGUUCUACCCCAGCAGUUGCAGUAUGCAUCAUGUGCAAUUUAAAGCUGUUGCUGUAAAUCUCCUGUUGUGCCGGGGGAUGGCAGUGUUGAUGGCUUCUUAACCAAAGCUUUCCCGGCAGACAUCUGUGCGGUUGCCCGAGUUUUGGGGCCCUCAGUAGCAGUAAACGUGUUGGUAGCAUGUUUGGAGAACAGACAUUUAAGGAAUUUAAGAUUAGUGGAGGUGAGUCAGUUCUGUAUGAACUGGACUAUGGGCUAUUAGAGUUCUAAUAACUUUCCCCUCUAAGACAAGUCUUGGUAACUUUGACUAGUUUUCAUACUGCUGUCAUAGAAGACUGUAGGUUUAAAGCUGGUAAGCAGCACUAUGUUUUUGUCUAAGUUGGCUUUCUUGCAGAAAGAACGAAAAAAAGCCAAUAAAAAUACUUCACUAAAAUAACCCCAAACCAGGUAGGCUCAGUGAUAAGCUAUGUAAAAGACAAGUGUAUUUUUUUUCCUAGUGUUUGAAGUGCAGUUUUCAUUUUCAAGGCUUUGAAAUGCACAAGAUAAUGAAAGGGAGAAAUAGUCUUGGAUUACAAGAUUUGAGUGGGGUUUUAAAUCGCUUAUUUACCCCAGUUAGCAAGUUGUUUUGUCCUUGGGCAUGUGUGACCAGUCCCCCCUCCUCUUGACCCCAGGGAUGUGGUUGGUGUGCCUAACACCACUUUGUAAGGCAACCUGCCAUCCUCUGCGGCCGAGUGGGUCAUGUAUUCACUCCCUUUCCCUCACUAUCAGGCCCUGAAGGUCCUGUGAACCCCGCAGACAAACCAAACGGAUUCCUUCUUCCCUUCCCUGCCCGCCUCAAGACUCCCGGGCACCAGGACGAUUCCUCCCUUCUUCACUGGCCUUGAAGGUCCCAGGCACCCAGCCAGCCCCGUGGUGGGGACACAACAGGGAAGCAUAACAGCACACACUGCACUGUCUAUGCAAUCAAGCACUUACAGGUCCUAAGUGGCAUCUUGGACCCAAACUGCUGCUGGACAGUGAGACCAUGAUGCCCUGUGGCCAGGAGCGCUUCCAUUGCACCAACUUCUGCUUCCUCUGAGGAUCACGUGACUUAGGGUUUUGUACUGGCAGUACAGAGACCACUCUACUGUUCUCACCAACAGAACAGCCAUUUGAAGCAUGGAAACUGCUACUCUUCUCCCCUUGCCAGGUCAGAAUAAACCAAGCGAGAUCACCUGGUUGGCUGCGAUGCUUUCAGCAGGCAGACGCUAACGGGUAUUUCCAUGGUGAGACAUGUUCUGUGUACACGUGGAUUCCUGUGUUCCCAGGAAUCCACAGCGGGAAACCAGCUCAUGAGAAUGCAGCCACUGGAGUGGGGAUAUCACAGCUACAGGGUUUAGGAAUGACAAGAGGCAGUGAUGCGGGGAGGUCUCUCCUGACACCUCAGUGCAGGCUGGCAUAGCGCAGGGCUGGAGACUGGCUUGCAGACACCUCCUUCAUCCCCCCAGUGCAAACCAAGCCUCUGUUUAUUUGUACCAUUUAUCUGCUUCUGAAACAGGGAUAGUGCUACAUGAGGAAAAGGGAAUUCAGGCUGUUCGGGACUUGCUUGUAAGGUAACACAAGGCUGAGGCAGUAUCAUAAAGAGGGCCAUGUGCCGCAGGACCACUUGCGUGCUGACGCAGCCAUUCCAAAUGUUUGUGUUGCAUCAGUUCUGCAAAUACUUUUUGUUACAGUGCAUAAAAGGUACAAUGCCUGUCAACAUUAGCUUUGUAAAGAGAGACCGUUUUCUUCUGUUGACUAAUUAUCCAGUGAAUAUAUUCAGUUUGAAGAGACGCUUCAAUAAUUUAGCAGGCAUGUGCCAGGUAAUACAGGAGCUUUUGUUUUACUAGCAGGCAUAGAUCUUCAAUCAUGUGUAACUCAAUCUCUGGCUUUAUGUAUUCAAGGAAGUGUUUCGUAUAGCUCCUGUAUCAAGUGCCACUGAAAAGCAGGCCUAGAUAAAAGAUUAAGGCAAUGCUCUUAACUGUGAAUAGGGAAAGUUUACCCUUUACUGUCCGGUAUAUCUGCUUUAUACAAGUGAAGUGUGUAUAUGCUGAGAUCCAAUAAUGAGUAUGUUGUGACAACAGGAAAAUGAUGUAAACUGCAUGUUAAAUAGCUGGGUCAGUUAAGUCUCCCUUCCUUACUUUAUGGGCUGUUAACAAUCAAACUUUGUAGUUUGAUAUUGAAUGCUUUCUGUCAUUAAAGUUUCUUAAAUGCA